rnacentral:rRNA from 1 species
GACGAACGCUGGCGGCGUGCUUAACACAUGCAAGUCGAACGGAAAGGCCCUGCUUUUGUGGGGUGCUCGAGUGGCGAACGGGUGAGUAACACGUGAGUAACCUGCACUUGACUUUGGGAUAACUUAAGGAAACUGGGGCUAAUACCGGAUAGGAGUUCCUGCUGCAUGGUGGGGGUUGGAAAGUUUCGGCGGUUGGGGAUGGAAUCGCGGCUUAUCAGCUUGUUGGUGGGGUGGUGGCUUACCAAGGCUUUGACGGGUAGCCGGCCUGGGAGGGUGACCUGCCACAUUGGGCUGGGGAUACGGCCCAGACUCCUACGGGAGGCAGCAGUGGGGAAUAUUGCACAAUGGGCGGAAGCCUGAUGCAGCAACGCCGCGUGCGGUAUGACGGCCUUCGGGUUGUAAUCCGCUUUCGCCUGUGACGAAGCGUUAGUGACGGUAAUGGGUAAAGAAGCACCGGCUAACUACGUG